rnacentral:piRNA from 1 species
UGUGGUCGAGUGUGCAUAUACUGCAUAUGU